UACGUAGGGUGCGAGCGUUGUCCGGAAUUAUUGGGCGUAAAGAGCUUGUAGGCGGUUUGUCGCGUCUGCCGUGAAAGCCCAGGGCUUAACCCUGGGUCUGCGGUGGGUACGGGCAGACUAGAGUGUGGUAGGGGAGACUGGAAUUCCUGGUGUAGCGGUGAAAUGCGCAGAUAUCAGGAGGAACACCGAUGGCGAAGGCAGGUCUCUGGGCCACUACUGACGCCGAGAAGCGAAAGCAUGGGGAGCAAACAGG
rnacentral:rRNA from 1 species